GCAGAACGCGAAGAACCUUACCAGGGCUUGACAUCUCUGGAACCUGGCAGAAGUGCCGGGGUGCCCGCAAGGGAGCCAGAAGACAGGUGUUGCAUGGCUGUCGUCAGCUCGUGUCGUGAGAUGUUGGGUUAAGUCCCGCAACGAGCGCAACCCCCGUGGUCAGUUACAUGGUUGUCUGACCAGACUGCCGGAGCAACGGAGAGCGGGAUGAUGUCAAGUCAGCAUGGCCCUUACGCCCUGGGCUACACACACGCUACAAUGGCCGAGACAAUGGGUUGCCAAGCAGCAAUGCGGAGCCAAUCCCACAAACUCGGUCUCAGUUCAGAUCGUGGGCUGGAACUCGCCCACGUGAAGACGGAGUUGCUAGUAACCGCCGGUCAGCAAUACGGCGGUGAAUAUGUUCCCGGGUCUUGUACACACCG
rnacentral:rRNA from 1 species